rnacentral:rRNA from 1 species
UAGGGAAUCUUCGGCAAUGGGGGCAACCCUGACCGAGCAACGCCGCGUGAGUGAAGAAGGUUUUCGGAUCGUAAAGCUCUGUUGUAAGUCAAGAACGGGUGUGAGAGUGGAAAGUUCACACUGUGACGGUAGCUUACCAGAAAGGGACGGCUAACUACGUGCCAGCAGCCGCGGUAAUACGUAGGUCCCGAGCGUUGUCCGGAUUUAUUGGGCGUAAAGCGAGCGCAGGCGGUUUGAUAAGUCUGAAGUUAAAGGCUGUGGCUCAGCCAUAGUUCGCUUUGGAAACUGUCAAACUUGAGUGCAGAAGGGGAGAGUGGAAUUCCAUGUGUAGCGGUGAAAUGCGUAGAUAUAUGGAGGAACACCGGUAGCGAAAGCGGCUCUCUGGUCUGUAACUGACGCUGAGGCUCGAAAACGUGGGGAGCGAACAGGAUUAGAUACCCUGGUAGUCCACGCCGUAAACGAUGAGUGCUAGGUGUUGGAUCCUUUCCGGGAUUCAGUGCCGCAGCUAACGCAUUAAGCACUCCGCCUGGGGAGUACGACCGCAAGGUUGAAAC